rnacentral:rRNA from 1 species
AGAGUUUGAUCAUGGCUCAGGAUGAACGCUAGCGGCAGGCUUAACACAUGCAAGUCGAGGGGCAUCACGAGUAGCAAUACUUGGUGGCGACCGGCGCAAGGGUGCGUAACGCGUGAGCAACAUGCCCGUAUCAGGGGGAUAAUCCAGGGAAACUUGGUCUAAUACCCCAUAGCAAUUGAAGGAGGCAUCUUCUUUGAUUUAAAGCUUUGGUGGAUACGGAUUGGCUCGCGUGACGUUAGCUAGAUGGUAAGGUAACGGCUUACCAUGGCUACGAUGUCUAGGGGUUCUGAGAGGAAGGUCCCCCACACUGGUACUGAGACACGGACCAGACUCCUACGGGACGCAGCAG